rnacentral:ribozyme from 1 species
ACAAGGUCAUCCUCGGCGUCGGGUACAACGGCUUCCCCCGGGGCUGCAACGACGACGACCUGCCGUGGGCCAAGAAGAGCUCCUCCAACAACCCGCUGGAGACCAAGUACGCGUACGUGUGCCACGCCGAGAUGAACGCCAUCAUGAACAAAAACG